rnacentral:rRNA from 1 species
GCUAAUACCGGAUAACAACAGAUGAUGCCUAUCAACUGUUUAAAAGAAUGGUUCUGCUAUCACUCUUGGAUGGACCUGCGGUGCAUUAGCUAGUUGGUAGGGUAACGGCCUACCAAGGCGAUGAUGCAUAGCCGAGUUGAGAGACUGAUCGGCCACAUUGGGACUGAGACACGGCCCAAACUCCUACGGGAGGCAGCAGAU